GAAAAUAAGCAAGCAGUGCCCACUUUAUGACCUUGUUGUCCAUAUGAAGAUGGAUGACACAAACCUGCUUCAACCCUGAUUAGGCAGCAAGCUUCCACUAAAAAAAUGUGUUCACUUUCUCUGGGUGGACACAGAAAAGGCAGAUCACGAGACAGGACGGAGAGAGAGAUGAAAAAGCAAGAGCAGCUGGCUUCCAGUAAAUGCUCUCAGACUCCCAUUUUCAUUAGUCCUAAAUUCCAUCAUAGUUUAAAGGAAGCAAAAGAUAAAGAGCAAAGGAACAUUUAAAAGAUUCUUCAGAGAGAGAGAGAGGCUUGCUUUACCAUUAAAACCCUGACUAGAAGUUAUUGUUAUUACUUGCUUUGCUGCUGUGCCCAGAGUCAGGAUGAGAUCCCCAUCGUGCAGUGUGUGGUGGAUGCAGGGGGGGCAGCCCUGCCAGAGCCCCACACACAGCAGCAGGCUGUGCUCCCCAUUGCAUGCAGCUGGACUAGGACCUGUGACAGAGGGGUUGAGGCAGUGUAGUAAGAGUGGCAGCAGUAAUAUCAGUAGGAAUGCAAGAAUUAUCAUUAUUGCCGUCUUUGCAAGAGAAAGAUGCUGAAGCAUAGGAAUCAUAGGAAUCAGAGACAUCCAGCUUGUCAUCACCACCUUGCAUGGGGCUGCAGUGGGGCUGCAUCUCUCAUUGCCCUCAACUGUGGGGCCAACAGCCUGUGAGAUAGGAACUGUCAGUGCAGCAGGUCCCAGUGCUCACUGCUUCCCUGGGCAUGGCACGUAUCUCCAAAGCGUGGUCACCUCUGAGCUCCCAGGCCAUACAAAGGAGCUGGGGUUCAGUCUGUCCAAAUCACUGAUGGGAUGGAAAAUGCAGAAGUCACUGUAACAGCUCCUAAGUGCUUUCAGGUGUAGCAUCCAGGAUUAAAAUGCAACCCCUGAAACCUUUACCUGCAUCAGAGAGCAGAAAACAAGCCCUGAGCUCCAUGUGUUGGAUGAGCUUGUCAGCAGAGGACCUUCCUGACCCUUCAUCCUGCAUUGCAGCUGUGCCCUCAGACGAAACAAACAAAACAAAGCAAAACAAAGGAACCACCGUGGCUGGGGCUUCUUCUAAUUUUAAUGAGGUUUCACCUUCAAAGAAGCAUCCGUUGGUGCACGCCAAAGAGCUGCAAGCACUGCUCAGAAGCACUGCAGCAGAAACUGCCUCUGAACCUCUGACAGCCUUCACUGCACAUGGCAGAGAUCAGCUGGAAAGAUGUACGAGCCAUCUUCAAAGCCAGAAUUGCUCAGGAAGCUUUUGCUCUUGCCUUAUUACUGGAGAACUGUCCGGGUCAGACACUUUUAUUGGGAGAAAACUUUCAUUGUUUUGGCUGUUUUUGUUCCUGCUUCUGGACGUGGCAGUCUAAUGACAUGACUGAUGUCUCCCAACUUGAUAGGCGUCAAUAAAAAUAGAUAGAGGAGGACUCA
rnacentral:lncRNA from 1 species